CUGCCUUUUAGUUCCUGUGCACAGCCCCUAAGUCAACUUAGCAUUUUCUGCAUCUCCACUUGGCAUUAGCUAAAACCUUCCAUGUCAAGAUUCAGCUAGUGGCCAAGAGAUGCAGUGCCAGGAACCCUUAAACAGUUGCACAGCAUCUCAGCUCAUCUUUACUGCACCCUGGAUUUGCCUACAUUCUUCAAGAUCCCAUUUGAAUUUCUUAGUGACUAAAC
rnacentral:lncRNA from 1 species